rnacentral:rRNA from 1 species
AGCAAACAGGAUUAGAUACCCUGGUAGUCCACGCCGUAAACGAUGUCGACUAGCCGUUGGGAUCCUUGAGAUCUUAGUGGCGCAGCUAACGCGAUAAGUCGACGCCUGGGGGAGUACGGCCGCAAGGGUUAAAACUCAAAUGAAUUGACGGGGGCCCGCGACAAGCGGUGGAGCAUGUGGUUUAAUUCGAAGCAACGCGAAGAACCUUACCUGGCCUUGACAUGUCCGGAAUCCUGCAGAGAUGUGGGAGUGCCUUCGGGAAUCGGAACACAGGUGCUGCAUGGCUG